GAGGGCAUAGCUCAGUGGUAGAGCACAUGCUUAGCGUGCACGAGGUCCUGGGUUCAAUCCCCAGUACCUCCA
rnacentral:tRNA from 1 species